rnacentral:lncRNA from 1 species
GUUGGGCAUUAUGCCGUAUUUAAAUGAAAACAAGUACGACAUUAUAACAUAAUUAUUCUCCCUAUCAAGAUCGGAAGUUCGAAGGUCUGAGACCAAAACAACGUCUCAUACUAAGCAUAUGAUAGAUGCGGAAAACAAUCCCUAAGAGAGUGAUGGAGAGUGAAAUUCAUAUAAAAAUAUGAAUAAAGUAUUAACAUAGUUGGGCAUCAGAUAAUAUUCACUAAGUGAAUUUAUUUCAGCGGAAGUAAACAUAGCAUUUCUUCAAAAUCCAUAGCAACAACCAUUCCUCAGCCUCGCACGUCACCACCAGCUGCUCAAUCUGCAAAAGGUUUUGAAAACAAUUGCAGGGCUGAGUACUAGUGUACUCAGUGGGUUGAGCCAUUUAAAAACAUUUUAAAAAUCAUUUACUGAAAAAGAUAAUUUAUGCCUUAAACAGUAUAACACAGAAUGUUUUUAAAAUGAGUCAUUCCAUGCAUACUAAAAUAAUCUAAGCUAAUAUUUUCCUGGCUCAUCUAUUGGGCGUGCUAUCUACAACUGGUUGUCAUUGAAUCUCUUGAGACAACAGGUUCUGGUGUACGUACACAAUUCUGGUUGGCAGAGUUAACAAAGUUCUGGUUGGCGAAGCCAACAAUGUUCUAGUAGAAGCAAUAACCAAUAGAGAGCAAAAAUAUUUUAAGCAUGAACCAUCCACUUUAGCAUUUCAUAAAAGCGAGCUUAUUAGCUCAACAUACAUUUCGUAAAUAAAGCCUCACCUAAUUUGGAGACAAUCCAAAUAAUUUAACUGAGUUGAUCAGGAACCUAAGUAUCAUCUUCUGUAGGUCCUACAAGAUAAGUUCUCAACUUAAACUCAUAGUCCUAAAAUAAACCUUAAUCUUAUAGUGAAACGCUUAAUAUUCUAUGAUUCACUUAGCCGGAAUUUCAAAAUUUAAUAAAUAAAUAUUUUAAAACUAAAUCUCUUGAGUUAUGGACACCAACAAUAUCCUUACUCAUUUUUCUUCAAUAAUUGAUUUUAUAAAUCAAACCAAUUAAAACAUAAAUGAUUUUAUUAGCGAAAUAUAUAAUACAGAUCAUUUCAUGCUCAACUCAUAUAGUAAGUAAUUGUACUUAAUAUAUGCACAUAAUAUUAAUAUUUAUAAUAUUAUGCAAUCAUUCAUUAAAGCAAUUUAUUAAUCAAAUUUAAAUACAUGUCAAGCUCAAUAAUCAAAUAAGGGCAAGUCAUACUCUUUAAGAAUAAAAGUGCCAAUUAAUUAAAAUCUGAAUCCCAAUUUAAAUUAGAUAUGCAGUCCAUAACAGAGCCCAAAUAAUUAAAUGAGAUAGUCCACUUUAUUAAAAAUAAUAAAGCCCAAGUUUUAAAUAAAAUCUGAGCCCAAUUGAAAAGAAUUCGUAGCCCAUAAGAGGCUCCAAAUUAAUUAGGGCAAGGCCCCAAACUCUUUCUUCUUGUUUUUAAAACACACACACACAAACACACACACAAACGCUGCUGCCCCCUCGCCUUCUUCUCUCCUCCGGCAGACUGCAACAGCGCCGUCCUCUGGCCGCCGCCGCCGCCAUCCCUGACUUCCCUCUCCCUCGCCCUUGCUCUCUCUUUCUUCCUCACCUCCCCUCACGCACACUCACAGACUGAAAAUCCUGUCGCCUCCUCCCUCAAAAUUUUUCGGCGACAGCCACCACCACCAUGGCCGCCGCCGCGUGCUCCGCUCCCUCGAUGGCUGGAGAGCCGUCGCUGCCCCUUUCUCCCUCUGAAAACCCCAUCCCCAAACUCACUGACAGCCCUCCUCUCCAUCUCUCGACUUCGGCAACCGUAGUAGCCUGUGAGGCCAGCCGCCGCCGCUCGAAUUUCAGACGACGGCGCCGCCUCUCUCCUGCAUUUUGUCGGACGGCCACCGCACCCCAGCCCCUAUCUCCCUCUCUCUCACCGUCUCCAGCCCGGCAGCAGCGGCGAAGCCGCCGUGCCACGCCUCCCUCUGUCUCACGGCCCCUCUCUCGCUCACCUGUACACUCCGGCGCCUCCCUUUCUCCUGUAUCGGCCGGAUGGCCGGCAACAAGCUCGCCGCCAUCCCGACGCCGCUCGACUCAGCUCAACACACACACUACACCAUACACGUUUCAAAAGUUUGAAACUUUUCUUCCAUUUUAAGCAAAAAUCUUUAUCUAGUUGUAAAAACAAAGCUAAUGCUUUUUAUUGAAUUUUCUUGCUGUAUUAUGCUCAAAUAUACAUAUAUAUAUGUACUGAAAAGAUGAAAUGGAUGCAUAUGCUGUAUUUCUUGUUUUGUCUCUAAGAGAGUUGAGAUGCUAACUAAGUUAAAGGUAUAACCUUUCAGAAUGAAUCUGUUGAAACUUUGAAGUUGAUUGAUUGCUGGAUUUGUGGUGAGGAAGAACUUGAUGAAUGCUCCUGUAUGAACUUGGCUUUGCGAAAACAAUUUGGGUGGAAUAUGAGUGAAGGAGAACUUGGCUGCAUUCUCUCUUGAGUUGGCAGAGGAGUUGCCUUAAGCAAAGGUGUGUUGGGAGUUGAAAGUCUCUUUUAGGCUGGGCGGCUAGUAGGUAGGUUGGGCGGCUAGUAUGUAGGGUGGAGUAUAGGUAGGGUGGCUAGUUGAUUGGACAAUUAAAACUUCAGGGUUAAAUUAUGUGAACUGUAAAAUUUUUCAGGGUUCGCGUAUUAAAAGCUCGUGUAAAUGCUUGAAUGCUUAAUUAAAUGAAUAUGCAAUUCAUAUAAAUUAAAAUAAAUGAAUUUUACAAAAGUUCUUUUGUAAAUCAUUUUGUUGGAAUUCAAAAAAAAAUAAAUUAUUUCUCUUUACCCGGCAGUGAAUUAUCUUAACUUCUAAAAUCAAAAUUACUCUAAAUUUAGCUAUGAGAAGACGGGGUGUCACAAUCCUUCCCCCUUAAAAAAAUUUCGUCCUCGAAAUUUCGAACCUCUGAGUAUCAUUUUCAGCUUGUAGCUAUCAUAUAUUCUUUCUGGUUCGUAGUGACUCUACUAGAAUAAUAUGUUUGCUUUUCUGAUUCAACAUCAUCCCAAAUGACAACUUAUUAUCACUACGAAUUUCACUUAUUCUAGUACGUCAAUUCUAUAUGGUCGUACCUUCCACAUCUUCUGGUGCCUGAGCUUGUUGUUGUCGGUCAAGUGCAUAUGCUCUUGCUAUUUGAAUUGGCCUUUGGCCUCGUUUUCUCCCUUGAUUCUGAAUAUGCUGUUGAGGUCUGUGUGGGGUUCCUGGGCAUUGUCGAGCAAAGUGACCAUUAUCUCCACACUUGUAGCAAACGUCGCUCCCAGCUUUGCAAACUCCGAAGUGAUUUCUGUGGCAAUUCUGGCAAAACGGUACUUGUUGCUGAGUAUUUCGCUCUUCUUGUUGGUUUUGCAGCAUUUGUUGAUCAGUCCCUUGCCAUUUUCUUUUUCGUUUGUUGUUGUUGUCGACACGCUUAUUGUCUUGAAUACGUGUUUUCAUUUCUUCUGGCAUCAUAGCUUCAAUAUCUCGUGCUCUGCUCAAGGAUUGAGCAUAUGUUAGUGUUCCUUGACUAGCCAAGGGCAUUCCUAUCUCGUGUCGUAGACCUCGCCUGAACUUUUCAGAUCUUUUCUCCUCAGUAUCCACCAAGUGUGGAGCGUAGCGUGAUAACUGGACAAAUAGUCUGUCGUACUCAGUGACAGAUUUAUUCCCUUGUCGAAGAUUCCAGAAUUCUGCUUCUUUCUUGAUUCGAUAACUCUGAGGAAUAUACUUCUCGUACAACUCUGCUUUGAAAUUUUCCCACGUGUAUUCCUCCCAUUGUUGUGGCGACAAUGUCCUCUGCACUGACUCCCACCAAUAGUCGGCCUCGUCUGUUAGUUGAAAUAUAGCACAUGUCAAACGCUCCUUGUCAGUAAGACCCAUGAAGUCGAAGAUUCGCUCCAAGCAUCGUAUCCAUUUUUCUGCAUCCAUUGGAUCUCCCAUUCCAUUGAAAGUGGGUGGGUUGUGCUUUCGGAACCUUUCACUUGCUCUACGUUCUGGUGCACCAGGUCCAUCAGCGUUAGGUAUCAUUCCUCCUUCCCCAGCCAUUUUCUGUAGUAACAACUUGCUUAGUGAAAGCUUAACGACAUCGAAAAAAUAUAUGAGCAAAAAUAACGAAGUAUGUUGCAAGAGAGACAACAACACACAUGAAGGUGUGUGAAUGAACGACUCAUACAUCAAGGUAUGAAAAUUUAUGUUUAUGCCUCAAAAGAAAGCUCUCAAGGGUAUUUAGAAAAAAAUAAGGUCCUUAAGGUCUUUCCAAAAGGAUUUAUAUAUAUCCAGAAUAUCAAGGCUUUUGAACACAAGAAAUAAGGCUCUUCAAUGAUUUAUAUAUAGGAUACAUAUAUGUCCAAAAGUAUUGGGGCUUUUAAUCGAAAGAAAAUAAAGGUCUACAAUAGGUUUGCGUUUAGAAAGUGUGUGUAUAUAUACAUAUAUAGAUAUCCGGUAACUCUACUAUAUAGUGGGAUAUUAUGCUUGUAGCUUCAAAUUCUUGUUAGCUUGUGGCGAGGUUCCGUUAGUUCCAUUCCACCUAUCUUUUCUGAUUGGUACACGUUCUUGUGACGCCCUUGAGUCUUCCAUACUUGUAGAGUGCGUGGAACCAUUCAUGCGUCUUUCUGCUUAUCCUGGGCUUGUUUCUUCGUGUCUUGAUCUUCUCUUUUGUCUUUUCAAGAUCUAUCUUUCUAAAUUCUAAACUUCUAUGUCUAUCUCUUCGUAUGAUGUCUUCAUUUCUGUCUCUUCGUUCUAUCUUUCUAUUCAAGCAUUUAAGUAUACGGCUUCGUGAACUUAAGUUUUCCUUGAUUCUUCUAUAGAUCAUGCUAGGAGUCCAUCUCAUAAGAUUCUCAUGCUAUUAUCCAGUGUAUUUCUCUAACUACGAGAAAGUUACACCUGUCUGAACUGAUAAUUGAGGCGACAAACUAGGCAAGCCUACUUAUAGUUGCAGGUCAUACAGACAUAAAAUCAUUUUGACAAUUUCACUGACUGUUCUGGCUGUAACAUAUAACUGAUUCUAGAGUCAAAGCUCAAAUACUGGUCAUAAAAAUAUGACAACUUUCUGGUCAUAUAAAUGAAUAUGACAAAUCUUUCUGGUCAUACAAACAUGACAAACUUUCUUGUCAUAUAAAUAUAUAUGACAAAUCUUUCUGAUCAUAAAAACAUGACAGAACUUUUCUAGUUAUUCAAGCUAAAGCUCAAAAUAACAUCUUUAUGAGAAUUUAGUUGUAACAUAAUACAACAAACUGAAAUAUUUCUUUUUAACAAGAACUCUUGCUUUUAAAACCACUUUAAAUACUUGUACGCACUUUAAGUAAAAUUUGUUAAAAUCGCGUACCUUUCUUUCUUGAGAGCGGUGUGAAGGCGAGCUGAGGGUUACUGUGUAGCUUAGAAGUCUAGAGAUGCUAUUCUAGACUCAACAUCAAUGAAAUAGCGGUCUUAGAGCCAAGAACUUUUGCUCUGAUACCAUUUCUGACAGCCCUCAUUUCCCGGGAGAAAAAGAAAUGGGCUAUGUGAUAGGACUACUAAGCUUUACUUGAAUAAAAUAGGUAAUGUGCCUUCAGGGUUGGGCAUUAUGCUGUAUUUAAAUGAAAACAAGUACGACAUUAUAACAUAAUUAUUCUCCCUAUCAGGAUCGGAAGUUCGAAGGUCUGAGACCAAGGCAACGUCUCAUACUAAGCAUAUGAUAGAUGCAGAAAACAAUCGCUAAGAAAGUGAUGGAGAGUGAAAUUCAUAUAAAAAUAUGAAUAAAGUAUUAACAUAGUUGGGCAUCAGAUAAUAUUCACUAAG